UACGGGGGGGGCAAGCGUUGUUCGGAAUUACUGGGCGUAAAGGGCGCGUAGGCGGCCUUCUAAGUCGGACGUGAAAUCCCUCGGCUUAACCGAGGAACUGCGUCCGAUACUGAAAGGCUUGAAUCCGGGAGAGGGAUGUGGAAUUCCAGGUGUAGCGGUGAAAUGCGUAGAUAUCUGGAGGAACACCGGUGGCGAAGGCGGUUCUCUGGGCAUGUUCUGACGCUGAGGAGCGAAAGUGUGGGGAGCGAACAGG
rnacentral:rRNA from 1 species